CGCCCGCUCCUACUCCAUCACCAUCCAUAAUCUACAUCUGUGAAAGCGCCUCUUCUGCUAUCGACCUCUCUAAUCCCCAAUCCUGCUCCCGAUUCUCAACUCUUCCUCCUCGCGGCCCACUUCUCGUUGCAGAUUUGUUUCUUCCGCUGCGAAGGGGAAGCUUGAGGACGCCGGAAAUUACUUGGGGGGCAAGGCCGACGAUGCCCUGGACACAGCCAGGGAUGUAAGUCGCGAUGCUCAGAACGAGGCCGAGAAGCUGGGUGACAAGGCCGCGGACAAGGGCCGGGAAAUCGAGGGCAGCGCCAAGAGCGCCGGCAGCGACGUCCGUGGCGAGGCUGGGAAUCUGGGCAACAAGGCGCAAAACGCCGUGCAGGACGCCGGCGACUCCCUGAAGGAGAACGCCGACAAGGCGACGAGCUCCGCGCAGCGCAAGGCUGAGGACGUGGGUGGCUCCGCUCGCGACACCGCGCACGACUUGAAGAGGGAUGCUCAGAAGGGAGCUGACCGCAUUCAGAACUAGACCGGGGGACCAGCUGCAGCGACGUGUGGAACUAGACGUGUGUGAAUCAAUGUGUAGAGGAUCCUAGAGUUUGUGGAUAGCGAUGUAACGAUGAUUUAGGAGAGUAGUGUAGUGCGGCGAUGAGGUGUAAAUCAUGUGGAUGCCUAACAAAUUUGGAAGAUUGGCAAUGCCACUCAUUUCGGAAAACAUGUGGGUGAAGCGGGGUCGUUUUCUUUGGAUGGAUGUGAAGGUGUGAGAGUGGUGGGUAGUAAGUCGGCGAUGGCGGUGUCAAUGCGCAGAACUGGGAACGGCCAUUGGGCUAUUUGCAGGAAGGACGCUGGGUCUUUCUGCCGCGGCCCACGAGCUGCAAGUCUGGUGGGGUCAGAAGACGUAGAAAAGCAGAGAUGUGUAGUGGGCAGUUCCACAUCGCAAGCGAUCUCUCUCAAGGUUGCGCAGGUGGGCUUCACAAUGGCGACCUUGCAAAGCAGCGACCGAUGGUGUCGAGGACGAGCCACAUGUGUUCAACUUGCACCUGGGAAGGAUCGGAGUUGUGGUAGAUAUCGUAGGGAAUGCCUGCCACGAGUAUUCUUUUUCAAGUCUUGCGAGCAGCCGGGAGCGGGUUCGCGAACUCGAUCGUAGAUGAGAGGAGCGUUUACAUGCGACGGACGUACCCUCAGAGCACGUCGGAACAUGGACGUGGAGGUUGUUGUGUGCUGCGUUGUCUCCAGCUGAAUGGUGUUGGAAAUUGGUCGAGUGUGCUGGGUGAUUACUUUCGCUGUUACAUUUGGGUGCAAGGUAAGGGGAAUGGGCUGGUAAGCAGCGUUUGGAGUGAGGUGGAUGUUGGACGUGAGAGUGGAGGUUGGGUGUUGCAACUGUCAACCGUGCAUUACCCCGUGGGACAGGGCUAGAAACACUGUCUCGAAUCAUGCCACCCACAAAUAGGCAGAAUUUCAUUCUGGAACCGUUCCGGUUCGAAUCGAACUCCGAUGCAAACAUCAUAAGAUCGAAUUGUCUGCCACCGAGUCAUUUCAAUCAGCAAGUGAUUUACAACUUUCGGUUGGACUUCCUUCAGAUACUCCGCGUCGAAUGAUUACAGGUAGGUAGUUAGACUUGAUGCCCAGCGCACGUUGCGUGGAAAUAAUUGCACCAAGCCGUUCGAGGGAGACAAAACGCAUGGCGCGUGCCCGCAGUGACCACGGUGUGAAAUUCAGCCAUGAGUGAGCACCAGCUUUGCGGACUUACGGACUGUGAGCACGACAUCCGCACUCGUGGAAGAGUGCUUUGCAUGAGCAGUGCGUAGCGAUCGCAUUAUCUGGCACUACGGCGGAGAAAGGGGAAACCAAGCAAAUCGAAAAAGAUCGUCGACCACACAUCCACGUCCAAGCUCAUGAAUGCCUAGCGCAUGCAUACACACACUCGUCGAGCAUGCGAGCAGCUCCGAAGACAAACAGCUCCCGCGGCGAGGGACGAAUCUAAUUCUGGUUCGGCAAAGAGCCUUUAUCACGUCGCUGCCGCGGGACACGGCGACGUCCUUCUCGGUGGCGUCCAACAUCUCACCCACCGCCGAAUUGGCCAUGGCGAACCUCGACUUGGGGGAGGUGCGCGUGCUGCAAUCACCACCACAGCGAAGCACAAGACGUCAGGAGCCCAGAAGCCAAUCCGGCGGGACCCGGCCAAACUGAUGCACACGGGGAUUGCGAUGGACUGGUGGGGAGCAAUUCCCGUGCUUCGAUCACGUAAGGAAUGAGUCGGGGAGGGAGCUGGGUGAACUUACGAAGACAGUUGAACUCGUUGGGCACAUUUUUGAAGUUCGUCUCUUCGUCGUACACAUAUCCGCAGUCCUGGCAGACUCAUGGGAUCCUCUCGGCCACGGGCUUUUUGAUGCCCUCUAAUCAACUAAAUCAGAAUUCUGAAAAGAGAGUAAAGGUAAGUUGCUUACUUGAUGGAAGUUGUAUCUUGACUUGAUCUCUUUGCUCUAAACUCAAGCUAUACUAUUCCGAAAUCCUAUACAUAAAGCAAAACUCAUUCUUGCUUUCAAACCAAGAUGAAAACCAUUGCUCUCUUUGGAAAAUACGUCAAAAUGUGAAAAGAAUUAAGUGCACCAAAUUUGAUGUUUUUAACCUUUUUCAUAUGAAAUAAUGUAAUUAAAAAAGUUUAAAUGAAUUAUUAUACAUUAUAAUUCGAUUUAAGUUAUUAGUCUAUUAUUUAAUUAAGUUUUAUACAUCCAUCUAAUCCAUAUCCAUCCAAUUCACAUUCCUCCAUUUUAUGUAAUAGAUAUCAUUCCAAUUUUUCAUCUACAAAAUUUAUCACAUCCAAAUUGAUGACUUCAUUGAAAUGUAAUAUCCAAAAAAAUCAUCUAUUUAUCUAAUUACUCAUCCAAAUUGACAUCUACAUAUUUUAUAACCUUGCAUCUAAGAUUCAUUUAUAAUAAAUGACUAAAGAACUAACAAUAAUAUCUAAGUGAGAAUUAAAGGAGUUUGGUACUUUAAAACCUAUCGUUGUACCUAUCUUCACAAAUUAACACACCAUGGCUAAUAAUAAGCUCCAAAUUACAUCCAACUAGUCUUAUUGAAAAGAAUUAUUGAAGGUGCUUCUAUUUUAUAAAUUUAAUCUUUAAGCUUAGUUGUAUGCAUCCAAUAUUGUCGUUCAAAAUUGAUGUUCUAUUUUGGCAAGGUAGUAGACUUCAUUCCACAAUUUAAAGCACCAUGGCUUAGUUUUUGAUUGCCUUUUAGUAAAUUUAAGCUUAUUAGAAUCUCAAAUUCAAAUAGCACAUCUUCCUAAAAAUUGAGCCUUUAAAUUUCUUGAAUCAUCUUGAUCUUGUCCUUCAAAGUUGAGCCUUCUUUUGGCCAUUUGAAUUCAAAGGCAAUAAACCUCUUGCCACAAGACUCAA